UAUAGAAGCACCAAGAACCAGUAGAAGUUGAGAGCUCAGAAAAGGUCAUCCAUGGCCUCCUCUCUCGGCAUCUUCAAUUCCACCGCUAGCGCUCUUUUCCGUACUACGAAAUUCACACAACCAAGUCGUUUGAGGACCAAAAUUUGCUGUGUAGGAUGGGAUCCAGAAGGCAUACUUGGUCCUCCCCAAACAGGCCACCUCGCCAGACGCGAGUUCCAGAGGCGGCUUGAAAGCGACGCCGAGGCCAGAGAAGCUUUCGAGCGCCAAGUCCGCGAAGAGAAAGAGCGUCGCCAAUCUCUUCGACAAUCUCGGGUUGUUCCAGAUACUCCGGCGGAGUUGAUCGAGUACUUUCUUGAUACUGAGGCUCGGGAAAUUGAGUUUGAGAUCGCUAGGAUGAGGCCUCAAUUGAACCAGGAAUUUUUCGCACACCUACAAUUUGAACUAGGACAACUUCGGUUUGCUGUUUCAAAAACUCAGGAUAUGGAGGACAGAUUGAUUGAGCUGGAAGCACUGCAGAAGGCUUUGCAGGAGGGAACAGAGGCCUAUGAUAAAAUGCAGACUGAUCUCGUAAAGGCAAAGGAGAGCCUAACCAAAUUAUUAACGUCAAAAGAUGUAAAAGCAACUUUAUUGGAGAUGGUUGAGCGGAAUGAGCUCAAUAGGUCCUUAUUAACGAUUCUUGACGAAAACAUAGCAAAUGCACACAAGGGUGACCAGAAACUAGCAGCUGCAUUCAUGGAAAAGCUUCGUGGAGCUAUGCUAAAGUACAUGACAGUUUAGUGUUUAAAUGACUGGAAAUUUAACGUCCAGAAAGACCAAGGCUUGAAAAUGAUUUGUGCCGAUCUGAGUCUUUGAAGGAACAUGAGAAGUGCUGCAAUGAGGUUCCAAAAUAACCUUAUGAAGUUCAAAACUUGAAUCAAGGAGGGAAUAUGUUAUAUGGAUAUGCCUAAGUACACAAGCCGAGGUGUGAAUACUGGGUUGCCCAUCCUAAAAACUGCAAUUAGUGUGUGCCAGUGUAACAGUUGGUAUCAUAUGGAUGCUUGUGGUUAGCAAAAUUAUAGAACCUAUGCCCGGUACACUAUUGGUAUAAGGCUCCAUACUAAAAAUACAUAAAUGUAUGUUCCUUCUUAUUUCAAGGAAAGGGGACUUGAGUUGGUUGCUAUAAAUUACUAAAAUAAGAAGAAUAUCUUAACAGGUCUCUCUUCUCUAAACAAUUGAUCCCAGCACAUCCCACUAGUUAAGCCCUUGACCUUUUAAACAAAAUUAAUCAACACUUGACCGACUAUGUAAUAAUUUGUUACAGUACUGCACAUGUUUGUCAUUUAGUAGUAGUUGUUAGGUGAGCUGGAGGAUAGUUAUUAGUAGAAACUUGUACUUAUUUUAGUUCA